rnacentral:rRNA from 1 species
GCGGUAACACCGGCGCCACAAGUGGGGGUCGCGAUUAUUGGGCCUAAAGCGUUCGUAGCCGACCUUGUAAGUCUCUUGUGAAAUUGUCAGGCUUAACCUGGCGAAUGGCAAGAGAUACUGCUUGGUUAGGGACCGGGAGGAGGCAGAGGUACUCUUUGGGUAGCGGUAAAAUGCUAUAAUCCUUA